UACGGGGGAGCAAGCGUUGUUCGGAUUUACUGGGCGUAAAGGGCGCGUAGGCGGCCACGACAAGUCACUUGUGAAAUCUCCGGGCUUAACUCGGAAAGGUCAAGUGAUACUGUCGGGCUAGAGUACAGAAGGGGCAACUGGAAUUCUCGGUGUAGCGGUGAAAUGCGCAGAUAUCAGGAGGAACACCGGUGGCGAAGGCGGGUCUCUGGGCCGAUACUGACGCUGAGGAGCGAAAGCGUGGGGAGCGAACAGG
rnacentral:rRNA from 1 species